rnacentral:rRNA from 1 species
GACGAACGCUGGCGGCGUGCUUAACACAUGCAAGUCGAACGGAAAAGCCCUGCUUUUUUUGGGUGCUCGAGUGGCGAACGGGUGAGUAACACGUGAGUAACCUGCCCUUGACUUUGGGAUAACUUCAGGAAACUGGGGCUAAUACCGGAUAGGAGCUCCUGCUGCAUUGUGGGGGUUGGAAAGUUUCGGCGGUUGGGGAUGGACUCGCGGCUUAUCAGCUUGUUGGGGGGGUAUUGGCUUACCAAGGCUUUGACGGGUGGCCGGCCUGAGAGGGUGACAGGCCACAUUGGGACUGCGAUACGGCGCAGACGCGUACGGGAGGCAGCAGUGGGGAAUAUUGCACAAUGGGCGGAAGCCUGAUGCAGCAACGCCGCGUGCGGGAUGACGGCCUUCGGGUUGUAAACCGCUUUCGCCUGUGACGAAGCGGGAGUGACGGUAAUGGGUAAAGAAGCACCGGCUAACUACGUG